AUGCAGGAGAAGUCUGACCGAGCAUGCCGCGUGAGUGAAGAAGGUCUUCGGAUUGUAAAACUCUGUUAUUAGGGAAGAAAGAGCAUAGUAGGAAAUGACUAUGAAGUGACGGUACCUAAUGAGAAAGCCACGGCUAACUACGUGCCAGCAGCCGCGGUAAUACGA
rnacentral:rRNA from 1 species